rnacentral:misc_RNA from 1 species
CUAAUAUUGAUACCAUAUAUUAGAAUUGGCUAUUUUAUCAAAUUUUUCCUGAACUUAUGAAUCAACAUUUUAUCACCAUACAGGUGAUAUAUAUUAUCCCUAACAUAAAGAUUUUACACUACAUAAUUUACAGAAAUCUUCUGAAAGGAUCACUCUGGACCAUCCCAGGAAUCGUAAACUUUUUUCAGCUACCAAGUGCUUAGACAUUCGUUCUUUCAUACUUUCAUUCUCUUUGACGGGCCUUGAUCGAUAAUGGGAUCAACUGGAGGCAACUGGGUUUCUUCUUGCUCGUUUUCAGAGGCUUCUGCUGUGGAAGGCGGUACAUAGCCUUCAGGAAAAGGUGGUGGCGGAGGUACUGGUGGUAGCGUGCGUUGUAGGGAAGCAAAAAUAUGAUCGACUCGCUUAAGUUCCUUGAAGUCAAUGGUCUCCUUAGCAGCCUUAGGUUCAGAUGCUGCGCUCUCAUUUUCAGAAGCCACAUAUCCAGUCUUUUCCAACUUCGAAGAUGCAAAACUGAAAGCUUUUGAUAUAUGAUAUAAUGCACGUCCCAGUCGACCUGCAAACACAUUGCAGAGCUGUGGAGCUUGGUAUAUUGAACCAUCCAAUAUGUAAUAAGUCAACAUCGGUGUGACCUUCUCGGGGCCAUCCCUCUUUUGCUUACGGAUGACAAAGAGAUUUGGCUCCAUAACUUCACUCAGCAUAUAUUCACUGCCUGUCAUUUUCGAGAGAUGAGAAAUAUCGAGUGGAUGAAUGGAUCGUGAUCGUAGUUGCUCGUUGUUGCAAGUCCAGUCGUAGAAUGGAGAGAGAGCAAAAUAGUCAAAUACUAGGUUUCGGUCCAGUGGAUACGUAUUCAGCCAUAACUGGUCCCUGAAGCAUAUACCCGUCAUGUCAGUCCCAGGUUGCGGCGGUAAGGCCGGUGCACCGCCGUCAAAGUUUGCGUUCCCCAUCGGCGCCAUCACCGGUGUCAUCGUCAUCUCCGGCGUUGGCUUGUUUUAAG